rnacentral:rRNA from 1 species
AAUGGGCGGAAGCCUGAACCAGCCAUGCCGCGUGCAGGAAGAAUGCCCUACGGGCUGUAAACUGCUUUUCCCCGGGAAGAAUAAGGCCCCUGCGGGGGUCGAUGCCGGUACCGGGGGAAAAAGGAUCGGCUAACUCCGUGCCAGCAGCCGCGGUAAUACGGAGGAUCCGGGCGUUAUCCGGAAUUACUGGGUUUAAAGGGUGCGUAGGCGGGGCNUUAAGCCGGCGGUGAAAUGCAGCGGCUCAACCGCUGGAGUGCCGUGGGGACUGGGGCUCUUGGAUACGGACGUGGCGGGUGGAACUCGUGGUGUAGCGGUGAAAUGCAUAGAUAUCACGAGGAACGCCGGUAGCGAAGGCAGCUCGCCGGGCCGGUAUUGACGCUGAGGCACGAAAGCGUGGGGAUCGAA